AGCAGCCGCGGUAAUUCCAGCUCCAAUAGCGUAUAUUAAAGUUGUUGCAGUUAAAAAGCUCGUAGUUGAAUUUCGGGAUCAAGUCGUCGGUCGUGCCUCGGUACGCACUGGUGACAUUGGUUUCUCCCUUCUGAAGAACCUUGAUGUCAUUAAUUUGGUGUCUUGGGGAAUCAGGACUAUUACUUUGAAAAAAUUAGAGUGUUUAAAGCAAGCCCACGCUUGAAUACAUUAGCAUGGAAUAAUGAAAUAGGACGUUUGAUUCUAUUUUGUUGGUUUCUAGGAUCGACGUAAUGAUUAAUAGGGAUAGUUGGGGGCAUUAGUAUUCAAUUGUCAGAGGUGAAAUUCUUGGAUUUAUUGAAGACUAACUACUGCGAAAGCAUUUGCCAAGGAUGUUUUCAUUAAUCAAGAACGAAAGUUAGGGGAUCGAAGACGAUCAGAUACCGUCGUAGUCUUAACCAUAAACUAUGCCGACUAGGGAUCGGAUGAUGUUAAUUUUUAAUGACUCAUUCGGCGCCUUAAC
rnacentral:rRNA from 1 species